GAUGAACGCUGGCGGCGUGCCUAAUACAUGCAAGUCGAGCGAACAGAUGAGGAGCUUGCUCCUCUGACGUUAGCGGCGGACGGGUGAGUAACACGUGGAUAACCUACCUAUAAGACUGGGAUAACUUCGGGAAACCGGAGCUAAUACCGGAUAAUAUCUUGAACCGCAUGGUUCAAUAGUGAAAGACGGUUUUGCUGUCACUUAUAGAUGGAUCCGCGCCGCAUUAGCUAGUUGGUAAGGUAAAGGCUUACCAAGGCAACGAUGCGUAGCCGACCUGAGAGGGUGAUCGCCCACACUGGAACUGAGACACGGUCCAGACUCCUACGGGAGGCAGCAGUAGGGAAUCUUCCGCAAUGGGCGAAAGCCUGACGGAGCAACGCCGCGUGAGUGAUGAAGGUCUUCGGAUCGUAAAACUCUGUUAUUAGGGAAGAACAAAUGUGUAAGUAACUAUGCACGUCUUGACGGUACCUAAUCAGAAAGCCACGGCUAACUACGUG
rnacentral:rRNA from 1 species